GGACAACAUCUGGAUCAGUAAAAGCUUAAAGAAGGAUGCCCCUCGGAACGGCAGCGGGGUGGCCUUGGAGCGAAGUGAAGCCAACAUCAAGCACGAGCGAUGAUGACACCAAAUCCAUGUGUCCACCCUGGGACCCAGGAGGGCACAGCCAAGGAAUGAGCCCUGUGGGGUGACGCUUCAGGGCAGAGCUGCCUUUUAAUUUUUAUUCUCAGAGCAUCAGCACUUGAGGCCUUGCCCCACGCCUUCUCUGUGGACCAUUCAGGACCUCCAGUGGGGGUGGCGUGCCAGGCGCGUACCCCACCAGGUGGGCAAAGCAGAAACCUGCGGGGAGCGGAGACGCCUUUUAUCUCUGGAUGCCACAGACCUGAGCAGCAUUGGGCUGGCUGUCCGCUGCUGACUGGAUGGCAGCACAAAGACAAUAUGAGCAGAGGGAGGAGAAGAAGGGGUGCUCAGGCUGCGGGCCACAGUCCAGCAGCGCCAGAAGCACUCAUUUCUGACCACCAGGCUAUGACGUUCCUGCUGCGCAUUACAGAAAGCUUUUAACUGUGAUCAGGCACUCUGCUCAGAUACAUUGAGUGGCGAUUUUUAGUUUUGUUUUGAAAAAAUAAACAGAUUAACCUGC
rnacentral:lncRNA from 1 species